rnacentral:rRNA from 1 species
UACGUAGGGGCCUAGCGUUGUCCGGAAUUAUUGGGCGUAAAGCGCGUGUAGGCGGCUUGGCAAGUCGGUUGUGAAAGCCCGGGGCCCAACCCCGGAACUGCAUCUGAAACUGCCUGGCUAGAGUCCCGGAGAGGAAGGCAGAAUUCCCGGUGUAGGGGUGAAAUCCGUAGAUAUCGGGAGGAAUACCAGCGGCGAAGGCGGCCUUCUGGACGGUGACUGACGCUGAGACGCGAAAGCGUGGGGAGCAAACAGG